CGGAAUGUGGCUCAGUUUGGUAGAGCGCUGCGUUCGGGACGCAGAGGUCGCAGGUUCAAAUCCUGUCAUUCCGACCA
rnacentral:tRNA from 1 species